AGGGGACAGAAGCAGCACUCAGUCUGCUGAGUGCUGUUCAUCUGCCUCCUGCUCUGGCUCCCUGACCUUGCUCUGGCUGUGUCCUGUAACUUGCUGGUAGAGGAUGUAUCUUGUUUCUUUCUCUCCUCUGUCCUGUAAGUUCUAGGCCUGCCUGUCACCUUGUGACCCCAGAAGAGCUGGCUUGAUUACAGGGUUAUCUCUUAGACAUGUUGCCCUGCUCUGCUCCACUCUGCUCUGCAUCUAGGGCCUUAGAGCAUUGGGCAGUACCCCAGCAUUUUACAUGGGUUCUGGAGUAACUGGCACUUCUCUGAGGACUCUGGUGGACAUUUUACCAGGAUUAUUGCUCUAGGAUUUCUCCGUAGAAAUCGCCCAUAUCUGUCUAUUUUUUCUACUUAGUUUCUUCCUGCUUUGUAUAAGUUUCUGAUCUUUCUAACACUGAUCCUUGGUUGUGUUUGAACUUUUUGAUGUGGAAAAACUCAAAGCUAGUGGGGCAGUGGUGGUGCGUGUCUUUAAUCCCAGAAGGCAGGUAGGUCUCUAACUUCCGAGGCCAGCCUGGGCUGCAGAGUGAGUUCCAGGACAGCCGGGGCUACACAGAGAAAAACCCUGUCUUGAAAAACAAAAUAAAAAGCGUAUCCCCCACCCCGA
rnacentral:lncRNA from 1 species